CUGUCCACUAAUGCUCACAGAAGUGUGUUCCUGCAAGAGAGGUGGCAGUCCAAGGAGAGUCUGAGUCUCACAAGUGAAAUUCCCAGGUUCUGUUCAGGAAGCAGGAGACCUACAAAAGAGAAGGGCUAGAAAACCCAUUCCCAGGCUGCAUCAGGAGUCAGUGAAAGAGAAUAAAUUUAAGACAAAUUAAGUGUCACUUGUGUGCACUGA
rnacentral:lncRNA from 1 species